rnacentral:rRNA from 1 species
CCUACGGGCGGCAGCAGUGAGGAAUAUUGGUCAAUGGACGAGAGUCUGAACCAGCCAAGUCGCGUGAAGGAUGACUGUCCUACGGGUCGUAAACUUCUUUUAUCUGGGAAUAAAACAGGGUAUGCAUACCCUCUUGUAUGUACCUUAUGAAUAAGCAUCGGCUAACUCCGUGCCAGCAGCCGCGGUAAUACGGAGGAUCCGAGCGUUAUCCGGAUUUAUUGGGUUUAAAGGGUGCGCAGGCGGAAGAUUAAGUCAGCGGUAAAAUUUAGAGGCUCAACCUCGUCGAGCCGUUGAAACUGGUUGUCUUGAGUGGGUGAGAAGUAUGCGGAAUGCGUGGUGUAGCGGUGAAAUGCAUAGAUAUCACGCAGAACUCCGAUUGCGAAGGCAGCAUACCGGCGCUCAACUGACGCUCAUGCACGAAAGUGUGGGUAUCGAACAGGAUUAGAUACCCGAGUAGUC